rnacentral:tRNA from 1 species
CGUGAAGUAGCUCAGCGGUGAGAGCGGUGGCCUUAUAAGCCAUGUGUCGCAGGUUCGAUUCCUGCCUUCACGA